rnacentral:rRNA from 1 species
CCGGCACGGGUGAGUAACACGUAUCUAACCUGCCGUCUACUCUUGGACAGCCUUCUGAAAGGAAGAUUAAUACAAGAUGGCAUCAUGAGUCCGCAUGUUCACAUGAUUAAAGGUAUUCCGGUAGACGAUGGGGAUGCGUUCCAUUAGAUAGUAGGCGGGGUAACGGCCCACCUAGUCUUCGAUGGAUAGGGGUUCUGAGAGGAAGGUCCCCCACAUUGGAACUGAGACACGGUCCAA